GGCCAGACUCCUACGGGAGGCAGCAGUGGGGAAUAUUGCACAAUGGGGGAAACCCUGAUGCAGCGACGCCGCGUGAGUGAAGAAGUAAUUCGUUAUGUAAAGCUCUAUCAGCAGGGAAGAAAAUGACGGUACCUGAGUAAGAAGCCCCGGCUAACUACGUGCCAGCAGCCGCGGUAAUACGUAGGGGGCAAGCGUUAUCCGGAUUUACUGGGUGUAAAGGGAGCGCAGGCGGGAAGCCAAGUCAGCUGUGAAAACUGCGGGCUUAACUUGUAGACUGCAGUUGAAACUGGUUUUCUUGAGUGAAGUAGAGGUUGGCGGAAUUCCGAGUGUAGCGGUGAAAUGCGUAGAUAUUCGGAGGAACACCGGUGGCGAAGGCGGCCAACUGGGCUUUAACUGACGCUGAGGCUCGAAAGUGUGGGGAGCAAACAGGAUUAGAUACCCGAGUA
rnacentral:rRNA from 1 species